rnacentral:misc_RNA from 1 species
AUGAAGAACGCAGUGAAAUGCGAUACGUAAUGUGAAUUGCAGAAUUCAGUGAAUCAUCGAGUCUUUGAACGCACAUUGCGCCCCCUGGUAUUCCGGGGGGCAUGCCUGUCCGAGCGUCAUUGCUGCCCUCAAGCACGGCUUGUGUGUUGGGCCUCCGCCCCCCGGCUCCCGGGGGGCGGGCCCGAAAGGCAGCGGCGGCACCGCGUCCGGUCCUCGAGCGUAUGGGGCUUCGUCACCCGCUCCGUAGGCCCGGCCGGCGCCCGCCGGCGACCCCCCUCAAUCUUUCCAGGUUGACCUCGGAUCAGGUAGGGAUACCCGCUGAACUUAAGCAUAUCAAUAAGCGGAGGA